rnacentral:rRNA from 1 species
AGAGUUUGAUCCUGGCUCAGAUUGAACGCUGGCGGCAUGCUUUACACAUGCAAGUCGAACGGCAGCGCGGGGCAACCUGGCGGCGAGUGGCGAACGGGUGAGUAAUAUAUCGGAACGUACCCAGAAGUGGGGGAUAACGUAGCGAAAGUUACGCUAAUACCGCAUACGAUCUACGGAUGAAAGUGGGGGACCUUCGGGCCUCAUGCUUGUGGAGCGGCCGAUAUCUGAUUAGCUAGUUGGUGAGGUAAAGGCUCACCAAGGCGACGAUCAGUAGCUGGUCUGAGAGGACGACCAGCCACACUGGGACUGAGACACGGCCCAGACUCCUACGGGAGGCAGCAGUGGGGAAUUUUGGACAAUGGGCGCAAGCCUGAUCCAGCAAUGCCGCGUGAGUGAAGAAGGCCUUCGGGUUGUAAAGCUCUUUUGUCAGGGAAGAAACGGCCGAGGAUAAUACCUUUGGCUAA